rnacentral:tRNA from 1 species
GCCUCGCUAGCUCAAUCGGUAGAGCGUGAGACUUUUAAUCUCAAGGCUGCGGGUUCGAGCCCCGCGUGGGGCU